CGCUGAUGGGAAUGUUUCAUUUUCCACUGUUUUCAUUGGCCAAAAUGUGCAUGGGAAAGUGCUACACGUCCUCUGAGGUUUCCCUAGUCCACUCAGUCUGGCCAAUCACAGCGGAGAACCCCUUUAAUUCUCUGCUUGUAACCCCUUCUACUACGGAACACAGGGAAAUAACAAUGUGCAUACAUGGGAUGGGAUUUGACCUUUAAAGCCUUCUUCAUGGGAAUACGUUUUUCACAAAGUGACAAAUCGCUUGGAUGAAAGUACAGACUCAGAGCUAGAAAAUGGUAUAUCAUACACUGCAGUUGAGGAACAAUGGGAAGGACAAUGACCCAAAGCACACCUCCAGGCUGUGUAAGGGCUAUUUGACCAAGAAAGAGUGUGAUGGAGUGCUGCAUCAGAUGACCUGGCCUCCACAAUCCCCCAACCUCAACCCAAUUGAGAUGAUUUGAGAUGAGUUGGACCGCAGAGUGAAGGAAAAGCAGCCAACAAGUGCUC
rnacentral:lncRNA from 1 species